UACGGAGGGGGCUAGCGUUGUUCGGAAUUACUGGGCGUAAAGGGCUCGUAGGCGGCCAACUAAGUCGGACGUGAAAUCCCUCAGCUUAACUGGGGAACUGCGUCCGAUACUGGAUGGCUUGGAUUUGGGAGAGGGAUGCGGAAUUCCAGGUGUAGCGGUGAAAUGCGUAGAUAUCUGGAGGAACACCGGUGGCGAAGGCGGCAUCCUGGACCAACAUUGACGCUGAGGAGCGAAAGCUAGGGGAGCAAACGGG
rnacentral:rRNA from 1 species